GACGGAGGAUGCAAGCGUUAUCCGGAAUGAUUGGGCGUAAAGCGUCCGCAGGUGGCAGUUCAAGUCUGCUGUCAAAGACCGGGGCUUAACUUCGGAAAGGCAGUGGAAACUGAACAGCUAGAGUAUGGUAGGGGCAGAGGGAAUUCCUGGUGUAGCGGUGAAAUGCGUAGAGAUCAGGAAGAACAUCGGUGGCGAAGGCGGUUCUCUGGGAAUAUCCUGACGCUGAGGAGCGAAAGCGUGGGGAGCGAACAGG
rnacentral:rRNA from 1 species